UGGCCAGACUCCUACGGGAGGCAGCAGUGGGGAAUAUUGAGCAAUGGGCGCAAGCCUGACCCAGCAACGCCGCGUGAAGGAAGAAGGCUUUCGGGUUGUAAACUUCUUUUCUCAGGGACGAAGCAAGUGACGGUACCUGAGGAAUAAGCCACGGCUAACUACGUGCCAGCAGCCGCGGUAAUACGUAGGUGGCAAGCGUUGUCCGGAUUUACUGGGUGUAAAGGGCGUGUAGCCGGGCUUACAAGUCAGAUGUGAAAUCCGGGGGCUCAACCCCCGAACUGCAUUUGAAGCUGUAGGUCUUGAGUAUCGGAGAGGCAGGCGGAAUUCCUAGUGUAGCGGUGAAAUGCGUAGAUAUUAGGAGGAACACCAGUGGCGAAGGCGGCCUGCUGGACGACAACUGACGGUGAGGCGCGAAAGCGUGGGGAGCAAACAGGAUUAGAUACCCGCGUAC
rnacentral:rRNA from 1 species